rnacentral:lncRNA from 1 species
GGAAAUCGUAGCCGCAGCUCUGCUUCAGGUCGGCGAGGACUUUCUUCUCCGUUUUGAGGUCUGCACUGCUGCUAGACUUCGCCGCGGCGCAGUCGCCAUCCGACGCGCUGUCGCCGUCGCCAGUUGUUAAAUCACCGACGCCUUAUCUGUUGGCGCAGCCGCCGAGUCACGCAAGCCCUAGCCCAGCCCCUAUGACGGUCACCACUCCUUCUAAAUCGAGGAUUUGCCGUGCGAUUUCAGAGGUAUACACUUGCUGCGAUUGAUUUAGAUCUGAGUGACAAUUU